rnacentral:rRNA from 1 species
GUUCGGAUUGCAGGCUGCAACCCGCCUGCAUGAAGUUGGAAUCGCUAGUAAUCGCGGAUCAGCAUGCCGCGGUGAAUACGUUCCCGGGCCUUGUACACACCGCCCGUCACACCAUGAGAGUCGGGAACACCCGAAGUCCGUAGCCUGACCGCAAGGGGGCGCGGCCGAAGGUGGGUUCGAUAAUUGGGGUGAAGUCGUAACAAGGUAGC